UUCCCCUUCGGGGAACAAAGUGAACAGGUGGUGCAUGGCCUGUCGUCAGCUCGUGUCGUAAGAUGUUGGGUUAAGUCCCGCAACGAGCGCAACCCUUGUUGUCAGUUGCCAGCAUUAAGUUGGGCACUCUGGGCGAGACUGCCGGUGACAAACCGGAGGAAGGUGGGGACGACGUCAAGUCAUCAUGCCCCUUAUGACCUGGGCUACACACGUGCUACAAUGACGGUACAACGAGAAGCAAACCUGCGAAGGCAAGCGGAUCUCUUAAAGCCGUUUUCAGUUCGGACUGUAGGCUGCAACUCGCCUACACGAAGCUGGAAUCGCUAGUAAUCGCGGGAUACAGCACGCCGCGGUGAAUACGUUUCCCGGGCCUUGUACACACCGCCCGUACACACCAUGAGAGUCUGUAACACCCAAAGGCCGGUGGAGAUAACCUUUUUUAGGAGUCAGCCGUGCUAAGGUGAGGACAGGAUGAUUAGGGUGGAAGUCGUAACAGAGGUAGAC
rnacentral:rRNA from 1 species